GCCGGGGUGCCGGAACCAGGCUAACGGGCUGGCCUCGAGAGCCAGUGGGCUUAUGCCCAUGUGGGUUCAAAUCCCACCCCCGGCG
rnacentral:tRNA from 1 species